AUUCUCAUCCCUAAGGGGGCGGAGAGAGCUCCUGCCUAGCGGGGCCUAACGCGGCUCUCGUACUUCGCACGAAUGUGCCGGUGGCGCAUAUUGUGUCCUGCGCCCCUCCCCGGCCGCUUCCGGAGGGCGGUGCCUCAGGAGCUUGCGCGUAAUAGAAAGGGGCGACGUGCGUGGGACAAAAUGGGAGAAAAGGGCGGGCGAGGGAGUUUAAGUGUUGUGUAAAAGAUCUUGCAAGGCUUCCCUGUGCUCAGGACUUGUACAUGCUGCCAUGGGUACCUCCUCACUUUAGCAGUUGGCAGUUAAGAUUCUGCUCUGGAUGCUCUCACCUUUGAAAGCUGGGAGUACAUCCAGUGUUCGCCAGACAUGGUCCCCUGAGUAUGGAAUACCUUCUCCAAGCGACUGCCUGGUGACCACAUUGGUAUAGGUGCCAAGUAAAAUUUUUGUUCAAGUUUUUAAACAUUAAUGCUGGAUUAAUGGCAAUUUUAGCUGUCUUCGUUGCUUUGUAAUUGAUUCUUGUAUUGUGUUGAUCUGUUGCAAGCCAUGCUGGAGAUUGGACAUCUUUAAAAUAAGAUUAAAGUGUGGGAUAUUGCUCUUACAACUUUUGGAACACUCUGUGGUUAAAAUGUGCAUACUUGGAUUAAAUGUUGUAGGGCUCCUUUUGUGCACUGGGUCUGUUGUUUGUAGCGUAUAGGCACUAGUUGGCAUCUCAAAACAUUUCUAAAAAGUAUAUCUGAGUUGUUAAAGAAAGCUGGCUCUUAUGGACUGGAAAAAAAUACCUUUCAGGUGUGUUUGUUUCUAGUUUUAGAAGAGAUAAUGAAUGAAUACUUUCUUUAACAAGACAGCAUUGGAUUGAGAAGGUAAGCAAAAAGUUCAAGGACACAGCCAUCCAGUAUUUGCAUAAAUGCCACAUUUAUUUUUAACUGAACAAUGCCUUAAGUGUACACAAU